rnacentral:rRNA from 1 species
AGUUAGGAAUAUUGGACAAUGGGGGCAACCCUGAUCCAGCCAUGCCGCGUGUGUGAUGAAGGCCUUAGGGUUGUAAAGCACUUUCGGCUGUGAAGAUAAUGACAGUAGCAGAAGAAGAAGCUCCGGCUAAAUUCGUGCCAGCAGCCGCGGUAAUACGAAUGGAGCGAGCGUUGUUCGGAAUCACUGGGCGUAAAGGGUGCGCAGGCGGUCAUGAAAGUCAGAAGUGAAAUCCCAGGGCUUAACCCUGGAAUUGCUUUUGAAACUCCAUGACUAGAGUAUUGGAGAGGUUAGCGGAAUUCCGAGUGUAGCAGUGAAAUGCGUAGAUAUUCGGAGGAACACCAAUGGCGUAGGCAGCUAGCUGGACAAUUACUGACGCUCAGGCACGAAAGCGUGGGGAUCAAA